CUCAUGAGAUUGCAGAGGCACAUUUGUUAUGUUGCGUUUACUGGAGAUGAAGUAGGACUUCCUCAGGGACCAGGAAUUGAGAAGAACUUAGGCCCUGAUUCAGCAAGAGACCUCUAAGCAGCAACCAGAGGCACACUGAAGGAAGAGAGACUACUGAUGCCAAGGGUCACUCACCCAGAAAACAGAAAGUAUAGACCUGACAUUUCUGGAAGAUUUACUUGGCAGAUUGUAAAGAAGAUCCCAGAUGAUCAUUCUAAUCUGAACAAGUGGCAAAAGAACAUGUUUGUUGUAGUGAAUGAAGAG